AGGAAGGCUCUUGGGUUGUAAACCUCUUUUCUCAGGGAAGAAGCUCUGACGGUACCUGAGGAAUCAGCCUCGGCUAACUCCGUGCCAGCAGCCGCGGUAAUACGGAGGAGGCAAGCGUUAUCCGGAAUUAUUGGGCGUAAAGCGUCCGCAGGUGGCGAUUCAAGUCUGCUGUCAAAGCACGGGGCUUAACUCCGUUAAGGCAGUGGAAACUGAAUAGCUAGAGUGCCGUAGGGGUAGAGGGAAUUCCCGGUGUAGCGGUGAAAUGCGUAGAGAUCGGGAAGAACAUCGGUGGCGAAAGCGCUCUACUGGACGGCAACUGACACUCAGGGACGAAAGCUAGGGGAGCGAAUGGGAUUAGAUACCCCAGUAGUC
rnacentral:rRNA from 1 species